CAUCGCCUCUUGCAAAGCUAAAGAAUAAGAGGUCCCGCCUGCCCUGUGACUAUUAGUUUAACGGCCGCGGUAUUUUGACCGUGCAAAGGUAGCGCAAUCACUUGUCUUUUAAAUGAAGACCUGUAUGAAUGGCACAACGAGGGCUUAACUGUCUCCUCUUUCAAGUCAAUGAAAUUGAUCUCCCCGUGCAGAAGCGGGGAUAUAAACAUAAGACGAGAAGACCCUAUGGAGCUUUAGACACCAAAGAAGAUCCUGUCAAGUAACCCCUGAUAAGGGCCUAAACUAAUGGAAUCCUUCCCUAAUGUCUUUGGUUGGGGCGACCGCGGGGAAACAAAAAACCCCCACGUGGAAAGGGAGCACCCCCUCCUACAACUAAGAGCCGCAGCUCUAAUUAACAGAAUAUCUGACCAAUAAGAUCCGGCAAUGCCGAUCAACGGACCGAGUUACCCUAGGGAUAACAGCGCAAUCCCCUUUUAGAGCCCAUAUCGACAAGGGGGUUUACGACCUCGAUGUUGGAUCAGGACAUCCUAAUGGUGCAGCCGCUAUUAAGGGUCCGUUUGUUCAACGGUUAAAGUCCUACGUGA
rnacentral:rRNA from 1 species